rnacentral:rRNA from 1 species
GACGAACCGUGCGAACGUUGUUCGGAAUCACUGGGCUUAAAGGGCGCGUAGGCGGCCGAUCGCGUCCGGGGUGAAAGCUUCCGGCUUAACCGGAACAGUGCCCCGGGUACGGACCGGCUGGAGGGAGGUAGGGGCAGGUGGAACUUCCGGUGGAGCGGUGAAAUGCGUUGAGAUCGGAAGGAACGCCGGUGGCGAAAGCGACCUGCUGGACCUCUUCUGACGCUGAUGCGCGAAAGCUAGGGGAGCGAACGGG